rnacentral:lncRNA from 1 species
UACAAUAAACAUUCAGAUAUUUACAUGACAUUCAUAUAAUUGAAAUACAUAUAUGUAUUUGACAUAACAUUCACAUAUUUCCACUGGCAACUACCAGAGUCGAGGUUCUCAAAUAGUGCCACUAGUGAUUUGUAGCACAAUGCUCAAUCUACCCAUUUGCAACCGUAGAUUCCUCUUGGGUCUCCCAAAAGCAGUAUGCCUCUGGUACCUCAA